rnacentral:snoRNA from 1 species
GCGGCCUUAGUUGAACAAGAUCUGUUCUAAAGGAUCAUACCACUUUAUUCUUGAGUUUCAAGGAGAUAGGAAAUUAUGUCUGGUUGAUGAACUAUGGCCAAUUGACUAGAGUGUGAUUAACACCUUCUAUGGCCUCUGACCCACAAGGAUCUGUUCUCUUGUGGAUCUUUUGGCUAGUGACAUGCU